GUCCACACCAUAUUCCUCAGAAGCUGUGCAUAUGUUACCCUAUGUGGCAGAAGCGAUUUUGCAGAUGUGAUUAAAGUUAUGGACCUUGAUAUGUGGAGAUUAUCUGGGUAAUCCCAAUCUAAUGGUUGAUGGUAUCAAGGCUCUCUGAUGGCUUCUUGCUCUUUCCCUUCAACUGCAAUCUCUGUUCAAGACUGGAGGAAGGGGAGACAGCUGUAACCUGUGGAAUAUGAAAAUAUGUUGGACUUUGGCAGAAGUGUGAAAUAACCAAGAGCUCAACAUUAAACUACUUGGAUAACCAGCUCUGGAAUACCAAGAAAGGGAUGGAAUAAAAAAUCUUUUGCAAGAAGUCAUUAAGAGUCUUUGGAAGAAGUAAUUUUGGUAUUCACAGAUGACAUUUACUUUGGAGAUAGAUACUCAAAAGCCGUAAGCAUGAAGGAUCCAGAAUUUAUCAAGUAGACUGGAAUAAAGAAAAUGAAAUGCAUCUUCAAUAUCAGUGGCCAAGAGAAGGCUGGAGAGCACCAAUUACAACAAAAUUUGGGAGUGGGUGGUGGUAAGGGAAUAGGAAGAAAUUUUCAAGAGCCUGAAUUGCUACAGCAGAUCAAACCUGAGGUCUUAGAGUUUAGGGCUGUAUUUCCGACGGUGGUACCAAAGAUGCAUAAUGACAGGGAUGUUGGUUUUCCUUAAAAUAUUAGGAAUUCUCCCCAGAUAUACUCCAACUUCUCUAAGUAACCUAUCAUGGGCUUAUUCACUCAUUAACUUAUCCAAGUUAUUUUUUUAAAAAAAUUAAUAAAUUUGAAAAUAUUAAAGGCAAUAUUCAUGGUAUUAAAAAAGUCAAACAGUACAGAUGGGUACUGAUGGAAAUUAAAAAUUUACUUUUCUACCCUUUUUAUUCCCCCAGGGCUAUCUUUCAGAUAUAACUAUUGUUGAUAAUUUUCUGCAUUUAUGCCAGAACUUUUUCAUGCAUGUGUAAGUACAUAUAUGUAUGUAUGGGGACCUGUGAUCCAUGUAUCUCUUCAUUACUGGGGAGGACACACCCUGGGAAAAGAAAUAUAAGCAGACGAUCCAACUUAAUCUUCUUCUAAGCAUGAUAACUAGUCCUCUGGGCAAUAGGCUAAUAAUGCUUGUUAGCUAGAUAGUCUUUAUCUAUAGAAUGCUCUCAGUAGGAUACCCCUGAAUUAGGGUUGCUUAUGGUAAAACAGUGUACAAUCCAUUGUAUGGAUUUAGGAGGCAUGACUCUCUGGAAAAUGUCAUGUCAUGUAAACUAUCUGACUCUCUUGGGCAUAAAAUGGAAGAGACGUUUCUUGACUGAAGAUCUACCUGCUGUGUGAGAUGAGCCAUGAAACUUGGAGAACUCAUUUAUUAUUCUGGGCCAGAGAGCAUCAUGCCUGAUAAGGAAAUGAAUUACAC
rnacentral:lncRNA from 1 species